GAUGAACGCUGGCGGCGUGCCUAAUACAUGCAAGUCGAGCGGACAGACGAGGAGCUUGCUGCUCUGACGUUAGCGGCGGGCGGGUGAGUAACACGUGGAUCACCUCCCUAUAAGACUGAGAUAACUUCGGGAAACCGGAGCUAAUACCGGAUAAUAUAUUGCACCGCAUGGUUCGAUAGUGAAAGACGGUUUUGCUGUCACUUAUAGAUGGAUCUGCGCCGCAUUAGCUAGUUGGUAAGGUAACGGCUUACCAAGGCAAGGAUGCGUAUCCGACCGGAGAGGGUGAUCGGCCACACUGGAACGUAGACACGGUCCAGACUCCUACGGGAGGCAGCAGUAUGGAAUCUGCCGCAAUGGUCGAAAGCCUUACGGAGCAGCGCCGCGUGAGUGAUGAAAGCCUUCGGAGCGUAAUACUCUGUUAUUAGGUAAAAACAAAUGUGUAAGGAACUAUGCACGUCGUGACGGUACCGAAUCAGAAAGCCACGGCUAACUACGUG
rnacentral:rRNA from 1 species